UGUAGGAAUCAUAGUGGUUGUUCUGGUUCUCAUCCUCUGUCUCUCUGGACUCAUGUGGUUCAGGAAGAAGGCCUCCAAAUCCACCUCUGACACAAGAGACACAUCAGAGAAUGUACAGGGAGACUCUAGUCCAGUGUAUGACAACAUCUCAGGCAUGGCCAUGACCUCUACUGCAGCACAGACAGCAGCCACAGAUG